UCAUUUCCAUAAUUUCACUUGGGGUGUCUGAAGGGAUGUACAAAACUAAAAAAACAUCUUUCUCCAACAACAUGGUGAAGUUCAUAUACAUUGAAAUUCAAUCGAAAUUGUAUCACUUCAUCAAUCCACCUGUAAAAAAUAAAAAGCUAAUCCCCGAGUUUGAACUCAUUUGGUCCAGAGAGAGCCGCUAAAAAUGUCCAAAUGUACAGAGGCAAAGAUAAUAUAACAAACACAAUAUACACUGCAAUCGAUCGAAUCGGUCGAAAAGUUGUUCACAGACAAACAAAAAAUACGCU